rnacentral:rRNA from 1 species
CCUACGGGAGGCAGCAGUAAGGAAUAUUGGUCAAUGGACGAAAGUCUGAACCAGCCAUGCCGCGUGAAGGAUGAAGGCCCUCUGGGUUGUAAACUUCUUUUAUCUGGGACGAAAAAAGCUCAUUCUUGAGCACUUGACGGUACCAGAGGAAUAAGCACCGGCUAACUCCGUGCCAGCAGCCGCGGUAAUACGGAGGGUGCAAGCGUUAUCCGGAUUCACUGGGUUUAAAGGGUGCGUAGGUGGGUCUGUAAGUCAGUGGUGAAAUCUCCGAGCUUAACUCGGAAACUGCCAUUGAUACUAUAGGUCUUGAAUCAUCUGGAGGUAAGCGGAAUAUGUCAUGUAGCGGUGAAAUGCUUAGAUAUGACAUAGAACACCAAUUGCGAAGGCAGCUUACUACGGGUGUAUUGACACUGAGGCACGAAAGCGUGGGGAUCAAACAGGAUUAGAUACCCUGGUAGUCCACGCCCUAAACGAUGGAUACUCGACAUCAGCGAUACACUGUUGGUGUCUGAGCGAAAGCAUUAAGUAUCCCACCUGGGAAGUACGACCGCAAGGUUGAACUUAAAUGAAUUGACGG